UACGAAGGGUGCAAACGUUGCUCGGAAUUAUUGGGCGUAAAGCGCACGUAGGCGGCAUUGCAAGUCGGAUGUGAAAUCCCUCGGCUUAACCAAGGAAGUGCAUCCGAAACUGCAGUGCUUGAGUACUUAAGAGGAUCGCGGAAUUCCCGGUGUAGAGGUGAAAUGCGUAGAUAUCUGGAGGAACACCGGUGGCGAAGGCGGCAUCCUGGACCGGCAUUGACGCUGAGGCGCGAAAGCCAGGGGAGCAAACGGG
rnacentral:rRNA from 1 species